rnacentral:rRNA from 1 species
GAUGAACGCUAGCGGGAGGCUUAACACAUGCAAGUCGCGGGGCAGCAUGAUGUAGCAAUACAUUGAUGGCGACCGGCGCACGGGUGAGUAACGCGUAUGCAACCUGCCCAGUACAGGGGGAUAGCCCGGAGAAAUUCGGAUUAAUACCCCAUAAUGAUAAGAGAUGGCAUCAUUUUUUAUUAAAGUUACGGCGGUACUGGAUGGGCAUGCGUGACAUUAGCUAGUUGGUAGGGUAACGGCCUACCAAGGCAUCGAUGUCUAGGGGUCCUGAGAGGGUGAUCCCCCACACUGGUACUGAGACACGGACCAGACUCCUACGGGAGGCAGCAGUGAGGAAUAUUGGUCAAUGGGCGCAAGCCUGAACCAGCCAUCCCGCGUGAAGGAAGAAUGCGCUAUGCGUUGUAAACUUCUUUUCCAGGGGAAUAAAAUUCGUACGAGUACGGACUGAAGGUACCUUGGGAAUAAGCAUCGGCUAACUCCGUGCCAGCAGCCGCGGUAAU